GACGAACGCUGGCGGCGCGCUUAACACAUGCAAGUCGAGCGAUGAAAUCUUAACAGAACCCUUCGGGGUGAAGAUAAGACGGAUUAGCGGCGGACGGGUGAGUAACACGUGAGUAACCUGCCUUUUACACAGGGAUAGCCUCGGGAAACCGGGAUUAAAACCUGAUGAAACUAUCAAAUCACAUGAUUAAGAAAGCUAAAACUCCGGUGGUAAAAGAUGGACUCGCGUCCCAUUAGCUAGUUGGUGAAGGUAACGGCCCACCAAGGCAACGAUGGGUAGCCGGCCUGAGAGGGUGAACGGCCACAUUGGAACUGAGAAACGGUCCAAACUCCUACGGGAGGCAGCAGUGGGGAAUAUUGCACAAUGGGGGAAACCCUGAUGCAGCGACGCCGCGUGAGCGAAGAAGGCCUUCGGGUCGUAAAGCUCUUUUAUAUGGGAAGAUAAUGACGUACCAUAAGAAAAGCCCCGCA
rnacentral:rRNA from 1 species